rnacentral:rRNA from 1 species
GACGAACGCUGGCGGCGUGCUUAACACAUGCAAGUCGAACGGAAAGGCCCUUCGGGGUACUCGAGUGGCGAACGGGUGAGUAACACGUGGGUGAUCUGCCCUGCACUUUGGGAUAAGCCUGGGAAACUGGGUCUAAUACCGAAUAGGACCACGCGCUUCAUGGUGUGUGGUGGAAAGCUUUUGCGGUGUGGGAUGGGCCCGCGGCCUAUCAGCUAGUUGGUGGGGUAAUGGCCUACCAAGGCGACGACGGGUAGCCGGCCUGAGAGGGUGACCGGCCACAAUGGGACUACGGUAGGGCCCAGACUGCUACGGGAGGCAGCAGUGGGGAAUAUUGCACAAUGGGCGCAAGCCUGAUGCAGCGACGCCGCGUGAGGGAUGACGGCCUUCGGGUUGUAAACCUCUUUCAAUAGGGACGAAGCGCAAGUGACGGUACCUAUAGAAGAAGCACCGGCCAACUACGUG